AUACGUAGGGGGCGAGCGUUGUCCGGGAUGAUUGGGCGUAAAGGGCGCGUAGGCGGCCCGGUAAGUCUGGAGUGAAAGUCCUGUUUUUAAGAUGGGACUUGCUUUGGAUACUGUCGGGCUUGAGUGCAGGAGAGGUAAGUGGAAUUCCCAGUGUAGCGGUGAAAUGCGUAGAGAUUGGGAGGAACACCAGUGGCGAAGGCGACUUACUGGACUGUAACUGACGCUGAGGCGCGAAAGUGUGGGGAGCAAACAGGAUUAGAUACCCUGGUAGUCCACACUGUAAACGAUGAAUGCUAGGUGUAGGGGGUAUCGACCCCUUCCGUGCCGCAGUUAACACAAUAAGUAAUCCACCUGGGGAGUACGGCCGCUAGGUUGAAACUCAAAUGAAUUGACGGGG
rnacentral:rRNA from 1 species